AUUAGACGCUGGCGGCAUGCCUUACACAUGCAAGUCGAACGGUAGCGCGGGGCAACCUGGCGACGAGUGGCGAACGGGUGAGUAAAGCAUCGGAACGUGCCCUGGAAUGGGGGAUAACGUAGCGAAAGUUACGCUAAUACCGCAUAUUCUGUGAGCAGGAAAGCAGGGGGAUCGCAAGACCUUGCGUUCUGGGGAGCGGCCGAUGUCGGAUUAGCUAGUUGGUGGGGUAAAAGCCUACCAAGCGACGAUCCGUAGCGGGUCUGAGAGGAUGAUCCGCCACACUGGGACUGAGACACGGCCCAGACUCCUACGGGAGGCAGCAGUGGGGAAUUUUUGGACAAUGGGCGGAGCCUGAUCCAGCCAUGCCGCGUGGGU
rnacentral:rRNA from 1 species